UGGCUCUCGCAUCGAUGAAGAACGCAGCGAAAUGCGAUAAGUAAUGUGAAUUGCAGAAUUCAGUGAAUCAUCGAAUCUUUGAACGCACCUUGCGCCCUUUGGCUAUUCCGAAGGGCAUGCCUGUUUGAGUAUCAUGAAUACCUCAACUCUCACGGCUUGCCGUGACGAGCUUGGACUUUGGAGGUCUUGCCGGCCCGAUGGCUGGCUCCUCUCAAACGCAUUAGCUUCCCAGUGUUUGGCGGCAUCACUCGCGUGAUAAAUAUCUACGCCCGUGGUCCCCCGUCAGGUAACCCCCCCACAGCGGAGGGUCGCUGGAGCUCACAGACGUCCUGCCCUUGGGCGGACAGCCUCAUGAAUGUUUGAUCUCAAAUCAGGUAGGACUACCCGCUGA
rnacentral:misc_RNA from 1 species